UUGGAGGGCAAGUCUGGUGCCAGCAGCCGCGGUAAUUCCAGCUCCAAUAGCGUAUAUUAAAAUUGUUGCAGUUAAAAAGCUCGUAGUUGAAUUUCUGCUGCAUCGCGUCUUCUUUUUGAUGAGUUGGCGUAUUGCGGCUUUUUUCGGAUGAUUUUUUUGUCCGGAUGAUUACUUUGAGAAAAUUAGAGUGCUCAAAGCAGGCUUUUGCCUUGAAUAGUUUAGCAUGGAAUAAUAAAGUAGGACUUUGGUUCUAUUUUGUUGGUUUUAGGUACCAAAGUAAUGGUUAAUAGGAACAGUUGGGGGCAUUCGUAUUUAACUGUCAGAGGUGAAAUUCUUAGAUUUGUUAAAGACGAACUACUGCGAAAGCAUUUGCCAAGGAUGUUUUCAUUAAUCAAGAACGAAAGUUAGGGGAUCGAAGACGAUCAGAUACCGUCGUAGUCCUAACCAUAAACUAUGCCGACUAGAGAUUGGAGGUCGUCAGUUUAUACGACUCCUUCAGCACCUUGAGAGAAAUCAAAGUCUUUGGGUUC
rnacentral:rRNA from 1 species